GGAACAAGGAACAGAAAAUGAUGAAACCAGAAGCAGGGCUACAGUUGUUUCUGAAGAUGUACCUGGAGAGCUGCUGGAUUCACAACCUGUUUUACAUGACCAUGUAGAAGAUGUUAACAUCUUUUAUCUCAAGACAGGAAAUAAUGAAGGAAAAAUAUUUGACUUCAUUGUGAGCUCCGAGUGCAGUUUUGAUGGCUUCAGUACUGAGGAUGUGCAUGUUAAGCAGUAGAGAGGAACAGACUGCAAUACCAGGUUCUUCAAAGAAGACCUGUACUGCAGAUAGAGGUGGAGAAGAGAGUUACGAUGGGAAGGGCAGUGGCUUCCCAUGGGCAGACCUGACAUGCUGUUACCUUUCCUGUCUACAAGAUAAGUCUACUCAUCUGAUGACUCAAGUCAUAUGA
rnacentral:lncRNA from 1 species